rnacentral:rRNA from 1 species
CAGCAGCCGCGGGAAUACGAAGGGGGCUAGCGUUGUUCGGAAUUACUGGGCGUAAAGCGCACGUAGGCGGAUAUUUGAGUCAGGGGUGAAAUCCCAGAGCUCAACUCUGGAACUGCCUUUGAUACUGGGUAUCUUGAGUAUGGAAGAGGUUAGUGGAAUUGCGGGUGUAGAGGUGAAAUUCGUAGAUAUUCGCAGGAACACCAGUGGCGAAGGCGGCUAACUGGUCCAUAACUGACGCUGAGGUGCGAAAGCGUGGGGAGCAAACAGGAUUAGAUACCCGCGUAGUCCCUGUCUCUUAUAC